CUCUGCUGUUGCUGAGACUGAGAAGCUGCUGGGUUAGGACCUGAUACUUGGAGCUUCUGCAACCUUUUUGUGUCCUUGAGGAAAUAAUAUUUUUAAAAUUUUUAUUUAUUUAUUGCUGGCUGCACUGGGUGUUUGUUGCUGUGCCCGGGCUUUCUCUAAUUGUGGCAAGCAGGGGCUAUUCUCUAGGUGUGGUAUGUGGGCUUCUCAUUAUGGUGGCUUCUCUUGUUGCAGAGCAUGGGCUCUAGGGUGUAUGGGCUUCAGUAGUUGUGGUACAUGGGCUUAGUGACCCUGCGGCAUGUCAAAUCCUCCAGGCCCAGGGACUGACCCCUGUCUCUCACAUUGAUAGGUGGACUCUCAACCUCUGGGCUACCAGGGAAGUCCAAAUGAAUACGGUUGACACAGGGGGAAUGUCUGAGAUGUUGAACUAGCCUUGUAAUCAUCUCACUCUGGUCUUAUUAAAAAGAAUAAGGCCUAUUUGUUUAAUCUAGUUGUAGUCAGGUAUUCUAAGUUUUAAACAAAAGCAUCCUAGUUGCUGCAACAGUUAAAGGUUAUGGACUCUGAAAUUACACAUAUGUAUGUUUGAGUUCCAGAUCUACUGGGCACUGUUUGACAUUGCAUAUAAGUUACUGGGUCUUUCUGUACACGUGGGGUAAUAAUAAUCAUACUACUUGGGUUAAUUGUGAGGGCUAAAUGAGAUGAUGCAUAGAUACUGAGAGUACACAAUAGCUAGUCAACAAAUGUUUUUAUCAUUAUCAUUGCCUCUGUGUUUUAGUCAUGAAAGAAAGCCUACGGAGGUGGGCAAAAUGGGUAUCUGCUCAGGCAUUGGGAACAGCAUCAUUGAGGCGGGCAGCCCGAGGGAGUGAGGGGGCAGCAGUGGCACCUGGAAGAGAAGCGAUGUGAAUACCUUGAUUCCUCCUCAGAACUGUCAGCUCAUCACCCUGCCUGGUUAUCUUGCAGAACUUCAAAGGACUUCAGACUCAGACAUGACUAAAGAAUAACCUGUGGAAUUAGAUAUACCUGGAUUUGAAUUUGGGGACGGCCACUCCGACAAGAAGACACUGGUGUUGAAAUGGAUGGCAAGAAGGAGCCCGCCAAGCAAGGACCUGUGCGGGGAAGGGGAAGAGAAGGCUCCCAGGCCCUGGGCCUGGAUCAG